rnacentral:rRNA from 1 species
CCCUUAGAUGUUCUGGGCGGCCCGCGCACUACACUGGCACUCUCAAUCAGAGCCUGGAUCUAACACUUUGGGGUAUUCUAUGAAGUGGUGUCGUGACUGGGAUUAACCCUUGCAAUUAUUGGUUACGAACGAGGAAUUCCUUGUAAUCGCGGUUUAUCAGCCCGCGUUGAAUGCGUCCCUGCCCUUUGUACACACCGCCCGUCGCUCCUACCGAUGGAUCGUCCGGUGAAGCUCAUGGGGGGGCGGUUGUCUCAGCUGCCGUCGAAGUGAAAUGGACCUCACGAUCUAGAGGAAGGAGAAGUCGUAACA